rnacentral:lncRNA from 1 species
GAAAGGGCAUGCGCCGCAGGAGGAGGUUGCGCAGUGGUAGCGGUGAGGCUGCCAGCCUUUCCUUCCGCCAGCACAUCCUGCUCGGUUCUCUGCGCCGGCUUCUGCCUUGAGGCACACCCGGAGGCCCCCUAAUCCUGCGCCUCGGCUUCGCUUCUCUCGGAACUGCUGUGCUUAACCCGUUCAUCCCAGCCCCUGUACCUUUCCUGACAGUGGCCCGUGUUCCUUAUCCAUCUCAGGGCAGGACUGUUCCACGGUCUAAACCAUCUCCUGUGGACACCAAAGCAUAGCUACGUACAUCCAAGCUUGACUCCCAGAUUGAGGUAGCAUCUCCUUCUAUGCUGUCCCCAGAGUACUGCCAUGCAGUUCCAUGACCCAUUCUUGAGUGUUGCUGAAAGAGGAGUGAACUCGAGGGAUCUGCAUCCAGGUUAGGUUUAACUGCUGUAUUGGGUAAAAGAAACUUAAUACAUUCUUGAAGUCAGUACCAACAUAACUGGAUCAAGAUGUAGCAUUAAUAAACUUACAAAAUCUACUUCUGUUAUGCAUAGCCGCAGAAUCAACAGUACACUUCACAGGCAGAAGAUUCUGUGCCUGCUCUGGAGAACAGGAUUAGAGUUCAGAAUGAUUGUGACAAAUAAGUCACAUGUUCUAAAACCAAGAAACAGCAAUACAAAAAACCCUCCCCAAACUCCUAGGAUGCAACAGAGUAGAGACAAAAUCAGCACUGUGUUAUCUACUGUAUAUAUGGAGGAUGGAGAAAUACUGGUUUUACAGCAGUUCCACAGAAACUAUUUGGGAGUUAUUUCCAAGCUAAACAUUUGCCAACAGUGCUGUGCUUUUGCUUAAAGGAGAACCAUCAUGGCCAGGAUGUCCAAACACAUCUGAGGUGAUGUGAGACGUGAGGUAAUCCUGCUUUGUAUGGAACCAGUAAAGCCCCAGGUGGAAUUCUGUGUCCAGUUUUAGGACUGCACUUCAAGGAGGACAUGCACUAACUAAAGUCUGGAUUAAAGCAAUGAAAUCAGGCAUGCCUGAAUUCUGAAAGGACUAGAGAGGAGUUUGUUACUUUAAAGAGAAGGCUGAGAAACACAGGCAUCCUUAAUAUGCUACCAAUUGCAGCAGAGAUUACAUUUUUUCUCCCUCUCAAAUGCAGGAAAGUUGUGAUAUACAAAGGUUUAAUCUUGAAGGUUGUUGAAAGAUUCAAAUCAUGCCAUGGAGAAUUUGCCAACAAUGAAAGCAGUCAUCCUGAGAGAAGAGGGGAGCUGGUGUGAUAAUCAUCCUUAUUUACACACAAACUGUUGCAAAGAUGGGCACAAUACUAUGUGCUGGUGAAGCAACAUGUUACCUUACAUUACAGGAAGGAAGAUUCAGGUAGCCAAGAGGAAAAGCUAAGCACUGAGGACUUAUAUUAAGCCAUCAUCUGUGCAAGGUCUAAAAGAGGUUAGGCCUGGAGAAAGUUGAUUUUGUCUUGGGGCAAGAACAUGGGAUAGAUUGCUCUGAAUGCAGCAAUUCCUGGAACAUUUAUGUGAAUGUAUUCUUGGGUUUAUGGUUCUAUUGGAAAUUAGAUUAUUGUUACUAACUACGACCCUAACUUGAGAGCUAAUUUGCCUUAAAGAGAGAGCUAUGAUACUACAAGAUAAUUUUAGCUUUCUGAUAGCAACUUCUAUAUAGUGC